GGGCCCGCACAAGCAGUGGAGCAUGUGGUUUAAUUCGAUGCAACGCGAAGAACCUUACCCAGGCUUGACAUAUAGAGGACCGCUCUAGAGAUAGAGUUUCCCGCAAGGGCCUCUAUACAGGUGCUGCAUGGCUGUCGUCAGCUCGUGCCGUGAGGUGUUGGGUUAAGUCCCGCAACGAGCGCAACCCUUGUCGUUAGUUACCAACACGUAAUGGUGGGGACUCUAACGAGACUGCCUAGGUUAACUAGGAGGAAGGUGAGGAUGACGUCAAGUCCGCAUGGCCUUUAUGUCUGGGGCUACACACGUGCUAGCAAUGGUCGGUACAGAAGGCAGCGAAGCCGAAAGGUGGAG
rnacentral:rRNA from 1 species